rnacentral:rRNA from 1 species
GACGAACGCUGGCGGCGUGCUUAACACAUGCAAGUCGAACGGUGAAGCGCCUUCCUUUUUGGUGGGUGUGGAUGAGUGGCGAACGGGUGAGUAACACGUGAGUAACCUGCCCCCUUCUUCUGGAUAACCGCAUGAAAGUGUGGCUAAUACGGGAUAUUCUGGGUCUGUCGCAUGAUGGGUCUGGGAAAGUUAUUGUUUCGGUGGGGGAUGGGCUCGCCGCCUAUCAGAUUGUUGGUGGGGUGAAUGCCUAACAAGGCGGUGACGGGUAGCCGGCCUGAGAGGGUGGACUGUCUCACUGGGACAGAGACACGGCUCAGACUCCGACGGGAGGCAGCGGUGGUGAAUACUGCACAAUGGGCGUAAGCCUGAUACUGCGGCGCCGCGUAGGGGAUACAAGCCUGCGGGUUGUGAACCUCUUUCGCCAGUGAAGCAGGCCUGCCUCGUUUGUGGGUGGGUUGGCGGUAGCUGGAUAAGAAGCGCCGGCUAACUACGUG